AAAUGGGGCGGUACACCUGUCAAAGUGUAACGCAGGUGUCCCAAGGCGAGCUCAGGGAGGACGGAAACAUUCCACGGAGCAGAAGGCAAAAGCUCACUUGAUCUUGAUUUUCAGUACGAAAACAGACUUUGAAGAUGA
rnacentral:ncRNA from 1 species